CGGCGAACGGGUGAGUAACGCGUGGAUGACCUGCCUUGAGGUGGGGGAUAACUCGGGGAAACUCGAGCUAAUACCGCAUAUGAUCGCGAGAUCAAAGGGGCGCAAGUCCCGCCAUGAGAGGGGUCCGCGUACGAUUAGCUAGUUGGUAGGGUAAUGGCCUACCAAGGCGACGAUCGUUAGCCGGCCUGAGAGGGUGAUCGGCCACACUGGAACUGAGACACGGUCCAG
rnacentral:rRNA from 1 species